UCAGUUUCCCCUCUCCAUAAUUUCUAAGCAUCUCAGCAGCAGCUGUGUUAAAUGCCCCACCCCCAGGCUUUAGGCCAUUGCUCCGUAGAAGCCGUAAGAGAAGAGACACAUGGGGGAUUCCAAAGUGAUGACCAGGCAAGCUUAACCUUGACAACCUCGGAGGAAGUUUCCUACCCUGUAGCCAAGAACAUUCUAGAAAGUACCCACCCAAGGUCCCACUUUAAAAUACCCAAGUUAGGAUCCCUACUUCCUGUACUGACAAAAGGGGGAAGCCCUGGAGAGGAAGCCGGUGUUGACUCCUGGGAGAGAAACAGUGAAGUGGACCAUAAGGCAUCCCUUGGCAUUCCUAACCCACCCGGGAGAUUCCAGAGGCGCCAGACAAGGUCAGGGCGAGGGGUUGAAGCAUGGGGAGUUGACGUUGCCAUCCUGACGGGGAAGGAAUGGGGUAGCUCCGUAACGAAAGGCACAUCCUUGGAUGCUCCUGGUGGAUGAAAAGGUCUCCAUGACAACAAGGGACAAAGUGUUGGGUCAGAAUCAGCUCUCCAAAGGCUGCAUCAGAAAGCGUGCUCUUUUUAGAUAUCAAGUAGUAUUGUGCACUCCCCCAAAUAAUGCCAAAGAAAUUUAUCAAAGACAGUGCUUUCAGCUGAACCCAGAGGAAUGGCUGUCACUUUGGACCAAAAAGUUCUCUUGCUCACUCUUCCUCCAGCCAGAUGCAGACAUUGCACCAGCGCAUGCACGUGGGCCCUUGGGACUUUAUUAAUCUGGAACGCCACAUGUGUUCAGAGCAGAAGACCUAUCAAGCGUUGUACAAUGAGCCAGUGUGGGAGAAUCCAUCUUCAAUGAAUGGCCCCUUUGGUAGCUUUCUUGAAUUGGAAGUGCCUCCAACACUUAUUCACAAGAUCAAUGACAUUUGUCUUUCAAGAUUAAUCUUCACCCCUCCUGCUGGGGAUUUAGCUCAGGGUCUUCAUGCACUCCAGGCACCCCAGCCACAGUCGGUCAUAACCAGAUGGAAAAGUUCCCUGGUGGACCCUUGAGUCCAGCACUCAUCACCCUCUCCCCCAGUUGGUGAGCUGGCUUAGGCAUUCUAAACAGGAAACAGAGGUUUUCUAACUCUAGCUCUUGGCUUCAUAAUUUCCGUGUUUGACUUGAAAACCAUUAUGUUUUAAGCCUUCACUGACCGUGUUCCAGCACUGAAAAUGUGACCCGGGGCACCCAUCUCAUUUAGCCAGAGGAAAAUGUAGAGGCGUGAUUUGGAACAGCCUUCCCUUACAAAUUAAUAUUGUUAAUGAUUUUCACUUAUUUCUGUCCCCAAAGAGAUUUGCUAAAUGAGAUCUUGAGCAGGAAAAAAAAUGUGCUUUCUUCGAUUUGUUACCCGUAAUGGAAAUGCACAGAUAAACAGA